UACAGAGGGGGCAAGCGUUGUUCGGAAUUACUGGGCGUAAAGGGCGCGUAGGCGGCCGCCUAAGUCAGACGUGAAAUCCCUCGGCUCAACCGGGGAACUGCGUCUGAUACUGGGUGGCUUGAAUCCGGGAGAGGGAUGCGGAAUUCCAGGUGUAGCGGUGAAAUGCGUAGAUAUCUGGAGGAACACCGGUGGCGAAGGCGGCUUCCUGGACCGACACUGACGCUGAGGCGCGAAAGCUAGGGGAGCAAACGGG
rnacentral:rRNA from 1 species